rnacentral:tRNA from 1 species
GGUAAGGCAGGGGACUGCAAAUCCUUUAUCCCCAGUUCAAAUCUGGGUGCCGCCU